rnacentral:rRNA from 1 species
UACGUAGGUGGCAAGCGUUGUCCGGAUUUACUGGGCGUAAAGAGCGCGCAGGCGGUCGUUCAAGUCGCGUGUGAAAGCCCCCGGCUCAACUGGGGAGGGUCACGCGAUACUGAUCGACUCGAAGGCAGGAGAGGGUAGUGGAAUUCCCGGUGUAGCGGUGAAAUGCGUAGAGAUGUGGAGGAACACCAGUGGCGAAGGCGACUCUUUGGCCUGUAACUGACACUGAGGCGCGAAAGCGUGGGGAGCAAACAGG